rnacentral:rRNA from 1 species
UCAGCAAACUACUAAUUGAGAAUAUUUGAUCAUGGUAUAAAGUUAGCGUUGGUAUUUUGUGUGCAUGGUAGUAUUUGCGGUUUGUCAUAAAUUCAGGUAUUUUCAGUUUAAUAUUUAAUAUCCAGGAUUAACAACCCAGCCAUAAGACAUUGAACAAUUCCCUAUAGGGAGAUUAAGAAAACACCUAUGUAGAAGCAGAAGGAAAUGGGGUGCCAGCACCUGCGGUUAAACCUCUUCUGCGAGUUAACUAGUGUUGUAAAGUAGAUUUCAUAUAUUAAUAAAUUAAAAUAGUUUAUAGAUAGGUAAAAUUUUUUAAACUGUCGUUAAGUGAAAGUUUAUUAAGGAGAUUUUCUACGAAGCUUAGGUUUAAUGACUGGGAUCAGAGACCCCAUUAAUUAAAGUGUGAAGAUAUUUUACGGGGACUAUUGACAAUUGUUUAAAACCUAAAUGAAUUUGGCGGUUCUAUAAACUCAGUUAGGGGAACCUGUAGCUUAAUCCGAUAGUCCACGUCUUACCUUACCUUACUUUCGUUUUUCCAUCGCCGUUGAGUUUUUCUUUAAGAGGGCAAAAAAACGGCACUAUUACUUAGUUGUUAAUUAACGGCUGAGUAUCAAUUCAGGUCGACAUGGAGCUAUAGUAAGGGGUUAUAUGGGUUACAAUUUUUUAGAAAAGUGGAUUUGUUGAGUUUGAAAUAGGCUUAUUGAAAAAGGACUUAAUAGUAAAUUUGUGUUAGAAUAGCAAGUUGAAUUGUGUUGAUAGUGCGUACAAAUUGCCCGGCACUCCCACUUGUAGAGGGGAUAAGCCGUAACAUAGUAAGGCUACUAGAAAGUGGUCUUGAGA